rnacentral:piRNA from 1 species
UCUCUGCCAGAUAUCAUGAAAGUGAAGCCAA